CUAAUAUACACCAGAGCAAGGAACCUGCAAGGAACAGAAGAGGGCAAAAAAUAAAGAGGAGUGAAAACAAAGAGCCAGUUUCUGCUCUAAGAUGGCUAGAAGAGGAAUCAGCUGUGGGAUUACCUACUCUAAUGGUACAAGUCAGACAGCUUUGCCUGGCAGGAGUGGGGCUAUGAAGACAACAGACUCCUCCAACAGAAGCUACAAAUUGCGCCACUCACUCCAGCAGUGCCUGGUAUCCGCUGGAUUACACGUGCAUUCAGGAAGGGACCGUUUGGACAAGCCCAACUGCCACAUCCUGGUAACAGAGAUCUGCCAGCUCCAGCGAGCCUCCCGUACCGCACUGAGCAUCCCUACAGCUACCUCUGCGUAACCCUCCUGGGGGCAGGUCCUCCACUGAUAUAAAUGGUCACAGCUAUGGGAGAUAUGGCAGCUGAUAACUGCUGAAGACCUGCCCUGAAGCACUUUUUUCAAGUCAUUGCGUUCUGUGGAUCACAUUGUAGGGGCCCUGGAUAAACUGUUAGAAACACACUUCAUUCACUGACCAGGCUGGGCUGAAAUAUAUUACAGCAACAACCCAAAAUUUGUGUAAGAAGGUUACACGCAAUACCUUUUUCCUUCAUUUAAUUACACCAGCUACAAGAGCAAGA